CCUACGGGAGGCUGCAGUGGGGAAUAUUGGACAAUGGGCGAAAGCCUGAUCCAGCCAUGCCGCGUGUGUGAAGAAGGCCUUCGGGUUGUAAAGCACUUUCAGUGGGGAAGAAAGCCUUGGGGCUAAUACCCUCGAGGAAGGACAUCACCCACAGAAGAAGCACCGGCUAACUCCGUGCCAGCAGCCGCGGUAAUACGGAGGGUGCGAGCGUUAAUCGGAAUUACUGGGCGUAAAGCGCGCGUAGGCGGUCUGAUAAGCCGGUUGUGAAAGCCCCGGGCUCAACCUGGGAACGGCAUCCGGAUGUGGCAGGGUAGAGUGCGGGAGAGGAAGGUAGAAUGCCCGGGGUCGCGGUGACGUGCGUAGAGAACGGGGGGGAUAGGGGGGGCGGAGGCGGGGUACAGGACUGACAGUGACGCUGAGGUGCGAGUAACUGCCUAGCAACCAGGACUAGCUGACCCUGUAGU
rnacentral:rRNA from 1 species